AUUGAACGCUGGCGGCAUGCUUUACACAUGCAAGUCGAACGGCAGCGCGGGCUUCGGCCUGGCGGCGAGUGGCGAACGGGUGAGUAAUACAUCGGAACGUGCCCAGUCGUGGGGGAUAGCUCGGCGAAAGCCGGCCUAAUACCGCAUCCGACCUGAGGGUGAAAGCGGGGGAUCUUCGGACCUCGCGCUAUUGGCGCGGCCGAUGGCAGAUUAGCUAGUUGGUGGGGUAAAGGCCUACCAAGGCGACGAUCCGUAGCUGGUCUGAGAGGGCGACCAGCCACACUGGAACUGAGACACGGCCCAGACUCCUACGGGAGGCAGCAGUGGGGAAUUUUGGACAAUGGGCGAAAGCCUGAUCCAGCAAUGCCGCGUGUGUGAUGAAGGCCUUCGGGUUGUAAAGCACUUUUAGCGGGAACGAAAAGGACUGUGCCAAUACCACGGUUCGAUGACGGUACCCGCAGAAUAAGCACCGGCUAACUACGUG
rnacentral:rRNA from 1 species